rnacentral:rRNA from 1 species
UAGGGAAUCUUCGGCAAUGGGCGAAAGCCUGACCGAGCAACGCCGCGUGAAUGAAGAAGGCCUUCGGGUUGUAAAAUUCUGUUAUAAGGGAAGAAAGGUGAUAGGAGGAAAUGACUAUCAAUUGACGGUACCUUAUGAGAAAGCCACGGCUAACUACGUGCCAGCAGCCGCGGUAAUACGUAGGUGGCAAGCGUUAUCCGGAAUUAUUGGGCGUAAAGAGCGCGCAGGUGGUUAAUUAAGUCUGAUGUGAAAGCCCACGGCUUAACCGUGGAGGGUCAUUGGAAACUGGUUGACUUGAGUGCAGAAGAGGGAAGUGGAAUUCCAUGUGUAGCGGUGAAAUGCGUAGAGAUAUGGAGGAACACCAGUGGCGAAGGCGGCUUCCUGGUCUGCAACUGACACUGAGGCUCGAAAGCGUGGGGAGCAAACAGGAUUAGAUACC